AUGGGUUAUCUGGCACUGCAGUCCAGCAUGCGCGUGCACGCCACAUCUACAGCACCGCUGGAUACAGCACUGCAGUCCAGCAUGCGCAUGCACGCCGCAUCUACAGCACCGCUGGAUACAGCACUGUCAUCCAGCAUGCGCGUGCACGCCGCAUCUACAGCACCACUGGAUACAGCACUGCAGUCCAGCAUGCGCGUGCACGCCGCACCUACAGCACUGCUGGAUACAGCACUGCAGUCCAGCAUGUGUGUGCACGCCACACCUACAGCACUGCUGAAUACAGCACUGCAGUCCGGCAUGUGUGUGCACGCCGCACCUACAGCACCGCCGGAUGCAGCACUGCAGUCUGGCAUGUGUGUGCACGCCGCACCUACAGCACCGCCGGAUGCAGCACUGCAGUCUGGCAUGUGUGUGCACGCCACACCUAGAGCACUGCUGGAUACAGCACUGCAGUCCGGCAUGCGUGUGCACGCCGCACCUACAGCACUGCUGGAUACAGCACUGCAGUCCGGCAUGCGUGUGCACGCCGCAUCUACAGCACCGCUGGAUACAGCACUGCAGUCCAGCAUGCGCAUGCACGCCGCAUCUACAGCACCGCUGGAUACAGCACUGUCAUCCAGCAUGCGUGUGCACGCCACACCUACAGCACUGCUGAAUACAGCACUGCAGUCCGGCAUGUGUGUGCACGCCGCACCUACAGCACCGCCGGAUGCAGCACUGCAGUCUGGCAUGUGUGUGCACGCCGCACCUACAGCACCGCCGGAUGCAGCACUGCAGUCUGGCAUGUGUGUGCACGCCACACCUACAGCACUGCUGGAUACAGCACUGCAGUCCAGCAUGCGUGUGCACGCCGCACCUACAGCACUGCUGGAUACAGCACUGCAGUCCGGCAUGCGUGUGCACGCCGCAUCUACAGCAACGCUGGAUACAGCACUGCAGUCCGGCAUGGAUGUGCACACCACACCUACAGCACCGCCGGAUGCAGCACUGCAGUCCGGCAUGUGUGUGCACGCCGCAUCUAUAGUACUGCUGGAUACAGCACUGCAGUCCAGCAUACGUGUGCACGCCGCAUCUACAGGAUACAGCAUUGAAGUCCGGCAUGUGUGUGCAUGCCGCACCUACAGCACUGCUGGAUGCAGCACUGCAGUCCGGCAUGUGUGUGCACGCCGCACCUACAGCACCGCCGGAUACAGCACUGCAGUCCAGCAUGUGUGUGCACGCCACACCUACAGCACUGCUGGAUACAGCACUGCAGUCUGGCAUGUGUGUGCACGCCGCACCUACAGCACCGCCGGAUGCAGCACUGCAGUCUGGCAUGUGUGUGCACGCCACACCUACAGCACUGCUGGAUACAGCACUGCAGUCUGGCAUGUGUGUGCACGCCGCACCUACAGCACCGCCGGAUGCAGCACUGCAGUCUGGCAUGUGUGUGCACGCCACACCUACAGCACUGCUGGAUACAGCACUGCAGUCCAGCAUGCGUGUGCACGCCGCACCUACACCACUGCUGGAUACAGCACUGCAGUCUGGCAUGCGUGUGCACGCCGCAUCUACAGCAACGCUGGAUACAGCACUGCAGUCUGGCAUGGAUGUGUGCACGCCGCAUCUAUAGUACUGCUGGAUACAGCACUGCAGUCCAGCAUACGUGUGCAUGCCGCAUCUACAGGAUACAGCAUUGAAGUCCGGCAUGUGUGUGCAUGCCGCACCUAG
rnacentral:lncRNA from 1 species